AAACUUAUCCAUCAGUGCCAUGAUCUUCUUCUUUUACUAAUAUAUAUAAAACCAAUCGUGUGCUUCGGAUACUUCGAAGAAAACCCAAUAUUGCCAUCAGGGUUUUCUUUACAAGGUAGAUAGAUAUCUUUUGUGGGCAUGAAGAACUGAACCUUUUUCUGUGAUUUAGUUCGAUCUGCUGCAAAAGAAAGAAAUAUGGGUAUCAUGCCUAAGCAUCUGUUUCUUUUGCUGCUGCUUCUACUGGUUGUUUCUACGUUCCAGAAACCAGGAGUACUUACAGAAGCAAGGCUACUUUCCUCAUCAAAACCUGAUCAACAAAGAUAUUCGAAGAUUUUCUCGACGCUGGGAAUUGUUUGCAAGUGUUGUGAUGGCGAGACGGGUGAAUGCACAAGUACUCGGACGGAGUCUUGUUCCAAGCUCCAAUGCUUUCCCUGGAAACUAACUAGUCGUCACUAACUGUAGUGGUAAUUUUUGUUUUCCUGGUUUGCUAUCUGUAUAUGAUUUCCCUGAUUGAUACAUAGAUAUAAAGUACUACGGGGAAUUGAUGCAACUAUAUAUAUAUAUAUGCCAUUUCAGAUUUCGAAGUUCAGUUUUACAGCUGCAGACAGUGAUUAAUUAAUUUGAAUGAUCUGUCUGUGUUAGCAAACCGAAAGGGCCAUUGAAUUUCGUGUUGCCAUAUAUGGUUAUAGCCAGAUUAUUUAGGCAAUAUAUAUUAUUUCUCCUUUUUC